AAAUAGUCCGUUAGAAACAGGUUUUUUAAUGGAGUCGUCAAGCAAAGUCGGCUUCGAUUUUGAGAAACUUCAAUGGAGACUGCUGUGGUCUUGACGGACUUGCUCGUCUCUUUCCUCUUUUUGAGAGAGAGAGAGAGAGAGAGAGAGAAGAGGAGUUGACGUUGGGGAUUUGCUUGCUUGCGGUUUCUGCAAAUGGAAAGAGGUAGGGGUUUACGGCAAUCUUUUAUUGGAAGAGUAGGGCAAAC